UGGGAGUGCUCCUGGUUGAGAUUGUAAGUGGUAAAAUGAAUAGAGGCUUUCGCCACCCUGGUCACCGUCACAAUCUUAUUGGACACGUAAGUAGAAAGAAUGAGUGCUGCUUCCUCCUUCAAACAGAACUCACUCUUUUAAGUAUAUAAAGCAUGAUUGCUGCAAUAUUUUCAGGCAUGGUUGCUGUGGAAUGAUGGAAGAGCCCUAGAACUAAUGGACAUAUGUUUAGAAGAUUCUUUCGUUGAAUCUCAAGUUCUGAGAUGUAUUCAAGUGGGUUUAUUGUGUGUCCAAAAGUUACCUGAAGACAGGCCUGAUAUGUCAUCUGUAGUUUUCCUGUUGGCGAACGAUGGGGUCACGUUGCCUCAGCCUAGACAACCAGGUUUCUUCACCGAAAGAGGUUUCACUGUAGGUGCAUUAUCAAGUCAUGAAAAAUGUCACUCAGAAAAUGCAUUAAGUAUAACCAUUCAGGAAGGCAGAUAGCACUCUACAGCCUGGUUAAAUUGCAGUCUUGCUUUCAGACAUGCUAAUACGUGUAAAUUUUUAUCACUUCAUAAAAUUUAAGGUCUUCCUUUUCAUUGAAAAGCCAUAAGAAGUAAUUAAUUGUUUCCAUAAAUGAACUGGUGAUCAGAUUCAUAACCAUUGCUAGGAUGUCAAAAUAUUCAUGUUUGGGAACUGUAGAAAUUUUUGUCAUUUCAUAAAAUUUAAGGUCUUGCUUUUCAUUGAAAAACUUUAAGAAGUAAUUAAUUGUUUCCAUAAAUGGACUGGUGAUCAUUAUUCACAACCAUUGUAUGAUUAGGAUGUCAAAAUAUUCAAGUUUUGGAACUGUAAAUUAUGUAAGCAAUUAGUUGGUCUUAGUAUCCUAAUGCAAAGUUUGUUGAAUUUGCAAUUCUAUUCCAUAUAAUAGAUCAACCAACUUGUACACAAAGACAAACUGAUAAAAUCAACAAUUUUUAAACAUUUCAUUGUGCCAAACUAUCAGGAUGACUCCAAGAUACCUGCCUGUUCUGGGAAGACCUUUUGUUCCUGUUUCAAGUGUGGCAGCAGCUAUUAUGGCUGAAAUCCACUGAGAGGAAUUUGCCAAUCAAUUUGACUCCAAGAUACCUGCCUGGGCAUUCAAAACCGAAGCUGUAAUCCACUCAUCUCAUGUGGCACCAACUAUGUGAUAAAUUAAAUAUCAUCUUCUCAAUGAGAGGAAUUUGCCAAUCAAUCGACCCAAUAGAUGCCUAAAUGUAUACGCAGCAAUACGGUAGAGAAUUAUCUUCUCUACGAAUUCAGGAAACUGCAAAAUUAUUUCUUUUCCGAUGUUUCAAAUGCAUUUCCAUUUUGUCUUUUAUGCCAAACUCUCAAAAUAUUUUGGUCAACAUAGUGGGGUUUAUAGUUCCUUCA
rnacentral:lncRNA from 1 species